rnacentral:rRNA from 1 species
GAUGAACGCUGGCGGCGUGCCUAAUACAUGCAAGUCGAGCGAACAGACGAGGAGCUUGCUCCUCUGACGUUAGCGGCGGACGGGUGAGUAACACGUGGAUAACCUACCUAUAAGACUGGGAUAACUUCGGGAAACCGGAGCUAAUACCGGAUAAUAUAUUGAACCGCAUGGUUCAAUAGUGAAAGACGGUUUUGCUGUCACUUAUAGAUGGAUCCGCGCCGCAUUAGCUAGUUGGUAAGGUAGCGGCUUACCAAGGCAACGAUGCGUAGCCGACCUGAGAGGGUGAUCGGCCACACUGGAACUGAGACACGGUCCAGACUCCUACGGGAGGCAGCAGUAGGGAACCUUCCGCAAUGGGCGAAAGCUUGACGGAGCAACGCCGCGUGAGUGAUGAAGGUCUUCGGAUCGUAAAACUCUGUUAUUAGGGAAGAACAAAUGUGUAAGUAACUAUGCACGUCUUGACGGUACCUAAUCAGAAAGCCACGGCUAACUACGUG